ACCGUUGUAGUCUUAACUAWAAAUGAUACAGACUAGGGAUAGGACACUGUCCAUUCCGACUCCUUCUGCACCUCGGAGAAAUUAGAGUCUUUGGGUUCUGGGGGGAGUAUGGUCGCAAGGCUGAAACUUAAAGGAAUUGACGGAAAGACACACAAAGAGUGGAACCUGCGGCUUAACACACCGAUAGGCCGAAGAGCGACCCGAAAGGGAUUGCUAGUCUGGGGGUUGACUUCCCCCUGGGCGACACCAUCAAAUUGCGGGGAGUCCUUAAAGCUUGAUCUACCACCUACGCGUCUAACAGACGGAAAAAUCACGGGCGUUAAAACCUCUUUGAGCGGGGGAGUCGCGUGCGUAGUACCUGGGGUAAUGACCUAAGGCAUGGUAAAAACGAUUGAGAUAUAUAGGUUAUCCGCAGCCAAGUUCGUUUAAGGCUCUUGCUAGCUUGCUUUGUUAAGGCAACUACCUGAUGGCUACGAAUGCAGUUCACAGACUAAACGGUGGUGGGUGGGUGCAAAGCCUGGGGUGUGAGCUCUCCCUGUUUCAUUACAGGGGGGGGGUUCGCGUCUUGGGCCUGCUCUGCUUAAGAUAUAGUCGGGCCCACCCGAAAGGGUGCCUCGGGAUGAAAGUUGACUCCGGUUGACCUGAGCCUGGGGAGGUUGGAUGUACGGUAAUGGCACUUGUGUCGUUGUCGGGUUCGACUGGGAACAAACCGUAAUUUGACUCAACACGGGAAAACUCACCAGGUCCGGAUACACGUAUGAAAGUCAAGCUGAAAGACUUUACUCAAUGAUGUAAGUGGUGGUGCAUGGCCGUUCGUAGUUCGUGGAUUGAUUUGUCUGGUUUAUUCCGAUAACGAGCGAGACCCCAGCGUUCCUAAUAGGGGCAAUGGCCAAGCUGGUCGCAAGACUGGUUAGCCAGGGCUUUAGAAACUUAGCUUCUUAGACGUAUCAGAGCCGAUAAGGCACUUGAAAUGGGUUAAUAACAGGUCAGUCAUGCCCUUAGAUGUUCUGGGCCGCACGCGCGUUACAAUGGCAUGUAAAACACGUUGCCUAAUCGAAAAAAGGCUCUGCCGAGGCCGAAAGGUCCCUGGUAAUCCUUAAUCCCUGCCUUGACUGGGACAGAUCAUUGCAAUUAUUGGUCUCUAACGAGGAAUUUUUAGUAAUCGUAGGUCAUUAACCUGCGG
rnacentral:rRNA from 1 species